AAGAUUUGUUGUUUAUAGGAGCGAUGAAUCUCCUUAUAAAAACUUUUUACUAUACGUAGAAGAAAUUAAGAACACUAAUGUUUUUUAUCCAAUUAAAUAUGUUUAUUUUAUAAAAAAAAAGAUAUAAAGAAUCAAAAUUUACAUACGUUUUGUGAAGAAAAAAAAUCAUUUUACGAAAAUAAAGACAAACAAAUAAAAUGCUUCUGUAGUUAUUGUCCUUCUUAUCCUAUUUUCCCAUUAUAUUCGCAUUUAAAAUAUAUAAAAGGAAAGCUUUUUUGCAACGAUAAAGAAAAAGACGAAUUAAUACUGUAUUGCUUAGAAAAAACAGAUAAAACAUAUCAUGGGUUUCUUAUUGAAAAGAGCGAGAAUUUUUAUAAGCUAAACGUUACUUUACAACAGUUCGAUUUCAAUGAUGAGAGUCUUAUAGCUAGCAAUAACCAAUCAACAUUAGAACGAAGAUCAUACAUUUUAGACGAAUAUAAUUCAGAAAUUAAUGAUGAAGUGUUUAGAGUAAAGAUUAAAUUUAAUUUUGAAAAGACGAACAAGGGAGGUUCCAUCGAAGGAAAUUAUCUAUUUGUUGAUUCAGACACGUUUAAAGAAAAGGUAGAAUCUGAGGACUUGAUAAUAGAUGAAGACAUUUUAAAAGACUCUUUCAUAGUCGAUCCUACACAUGUUGAUAAAAUAAAACUACAAAAUGCAGAAACAACAACACUGACAGAACAAACCGAGUGUGAUAAAAUAAGAAGCUAUCCAUCGACAUAUGGAACCCCUAAUGGAUCAUUACCUAGUUUAAACAUAGUAAAAAAAAAAAUGGGUCAUAAAACUUGGUUUUAUAAAUUAAUUAAAAUUCGUUUACUUAUUUUAUGGUCUUUGCAAGAUCUUUUUAUUGCUUUAAAAAAAAUACCUUAUAAAUUGUAUAGAAUUACUAAAAAGAUAAUAAAAUAUAUUUUUCGUUUUUUUUAUAAAGCUUUCUUAAUUUUGUUUCAAAGUAAAGACCAAUUAAUUGAUCAAAUGCAUAAAGAAAAUGAAGCACAAAGAAGAUUAUAUGAAAAAAAAAAAAAAAAAAAAAAUUGUUAUAUGCAAAAAAACAAAAAAAGAAAAAAGCACUAUUGCAAAAUAGAAAAAAAAUAUUAUUAAAAUAUGAAAGAAAUUUUAAAAGGAAUAGGGGUGAGUAUGUGAGUAGGGAGUUUAGUGGAACAGAAACUUCAACAUAUAGUGAAAUAUCCAAUAUAACUGAUGAUGGAAACAUACUUGACGAAGCCUCUGACACGUCCACUACAAAUAAUCCUAAUACAAAACGUAAUACAAACAAUCGUAGUACACAGGAAAUACCAAUUAAAAAAAAAAAUGAAGAAAAUAAGGAUAUAAAUCAACAGAUAAGUGAAAUAAGUAUGGCAUAAAAAUAGGGGGA
rnacentral:lncRNA from 1 species